UAUUCGUUUUCAGUUUCAUUUCUUCAUUUGCAACACUAGGGAAAGAACACCAACCACUGCUGUUGAAUCCAAUGUUACUAGUUUCAUCUCCUUUCAUUUUUUCUUUCGAUUAAUUUCAUAUCACUUGAUUCACCGCCUUCUUUUUUCACAAUUUUGCAUAUUGUAAAUAUUCAGUUUAGACUUAGUUUCAUCAAUUUGGGGGUUCUACAAAAAAAAUUGGAAUCACAUUUAGAUCGGUUGAUUUGAUAUUCAUCAUUCAAGGUUGAUUGAUUCGUUCCUCAUCAAUAUGGCGAUUUGGCGGCAUUCUUUGCUUCCACGGACAUGGAAGACGUAAUGGUGAGAGGAGAAUGAGGUCAGUACAUGGUUGUAUUGUAAGCCAAGACCUCUCAGUGCUUAACUUGGUCAUUGUGAAGAAGGGUGAGAAAGACUUACCUAUGUUUGUCUGCAUUCUGAUUUAAACAUUUUAUUGAUCAUUUUAUGAAAAGUAAGACUGGGCUUGUCUAUAUCAGUUGUUAGUAGUUCUGUAUUUUAUGUAAGUACUUGUGUUUCCAAAAUGUUACUUUGUAGGUAUGCAUGCAUUCUCCCACAUGCUUAGAUAUUAUUCACUCUGGCCAUUCUGGAAUUCGGGAAGAAAAGGUCCUGAUAUGUACGCUUGGCGCUGUAUAAUAGAUGUUUGUGGUCUUAAUAAGUCCAGGAAAAUGUAUGAGUAAUAGAAUUGAAGUAGCAUAUCAAGAGGUUGUUGCUUUGAAAAGGCAACAGUAGCUCAUUCGUGAGGAAGAGGAGACUUGGCAAGCUGAGAGUAAGAAAAUAAAUAAAUGAUGGAGCAGCUGACAAGGAAAAGCGCGCUGAGAAAAAAAAAAACAGUGACUUCACAAGGAACUAGACAUUUUCUUUUGACAACCUACUUGCCUGCAAACGUCCAGUCCUCUAUAGAAUUAAUUUUGUGCAUAUCAACCAAACCAGUUUCCUAUAAUCAUCUUUGGUUGUGUCUUUCAACUUUUCCACGUUCCAUUUUGGUGUGUUCCCAGAGCAAACAAAGGCAUAACAAUGGCAAAGGCAAAGACAAGGGGCGGAGCGAGGACUUAGAUGUGUCGGUACAAGAAAAGAUGCUAAGUGGGAGCACUUUUACAUAGUGCCAUGGACCGUUUAUCCUUGAAUCUGGAACCCUCAGUCUUUGAAUAAGUGUAUUUGAUGUGAUAUCACAAUCUCUGGAUUUUGUCAGUUACUAUAUACACCAGUGUAAACCAGAAAAAAAUGAAAAUUAUAGUCAUAUGGGUACUCGUUUUGUAGAUCUUGGAAAGAGCUUUGCGAAUAUAUAAAAUUUCUAAACUUUGGACA